GGAAAUAUAGUUCAAUGGUAGAACACUCACCUCUUAGUGUGGGAUUGAGCCGACCAGGGAGAGAGAGGGGUAUUUGGAGGCUCGCCCGCCGUGAGUGUGUGAGAUGGGAGUUCGAUUCUCUCUAUUUCUA